AGACACAGAACGAAUGAACGAAUGACUUUCAACAAUCAAUCAGUCAAACAAAGAAGAAAGAAGAAGAAAGAGAAUCAAUCACUUUCUCAAUUUCUUUUUCUCUCUCUUUUUCUUUCUUCCUUCCUUUCUUCCUUUCUUUCCCUCUUUUCUUGCAACGAACGAUGAGAGUCCUCUCUCUUCAAAGAAAACUAAUGAAAUAAAACAAUGAUGUUU
rnacentral:ribozyme from 14 species